rnacentral:rRNA from 1 species
AUUGAACGCUGGCGGCAGGCCUAACACAUGCAAGUCGAGCGGAUGAAGGGAGCUUGCUCCUGGAUUCAGCGGCGGACGGGUGAGUAAUGCCUGGGAAUCUGCCUGGUAGUGGGGGAUAACGUCCGGAAACGGGCGCUAAUACCGCAUACGUCCUGAGGGAGAAAGUGGGGGAUCUUCGGACCUCACGCUAUCAGAUGAGCCUAGGUCGGAUUAGCUAGUUGGUGGGGUAAAGGCCUACCAAGGCGACGAUCCGUAACUGGUCUGAGAGGAUGAUCAGUCACACUGGAACUGAGACACGGUCCAGACUCCUAAGGGAGGCAGCAGUGGGGAAUAUUGGACAAUGGGCGAAAGCCUGAUCCAGCCAUGCCGCGUGUGUGAAGAAGGUCUUCGGAUUGUAAAGCACUUUAAGUUGGGAGGAAGGGCAGUAAGUUAAUACCUUGCUGUUUUGACGUUACCAACAGAAUAAGCACCGGCUAACUUCGUG